UCAACGAUGUCAUUAGUGUUUAUUGUAAACUAUAGAAUUCUUUCAAAUGAUUUUAUUGUUUGUAUUAGUUUUUUUUUAUCCAAUGGAUUUUCACAGGUAUUUUAAUAUGAUUUGGCAUGCAGUUAGUGAACAUAAAUAAAAGAGUUCCUAGUACGCUAUCUUGAGCAUAUAAGCUCGCCGAAUGGUCACACACGAGAAGUGAAUGCUGUGAAGGAAAAAUGAAGUACAUUAGAAUAAAGAAGAGUUUUUUUCGAAGAAAGCAUACUUUGCUGUGGUUACCUAAUUUUGCAUUGCAAGUACCUAUUUUUGGUCAUUACAAUUUUUUUAUGCGUGCUAUGUAUAUUUUAUAUGUAUAUGUAUGAUACAUUUAA